rnacentral:rRNA from 1 species
AUUGAACGCUGGCGGCAUGCCUUACACAUGCAAGUCGAACGGUAACAGGUCUUCGGAUGCUGACGAGUGGCGAACGGGUGAGUAAUGCAUCGGAACGUGCCCAGUCGUGGGGGAUAACGCAGCGAAAGCUGUGCUAAUACCGCAUACGAUCUAUGGAUGAAAGCGGGGGACCGUAAGGCCUCGCGCGAUUGGAGCGGCCGAUGUCAGAUUAGGUAGUUGGUGGGGUAAAGGCCUACCAAGCCGACGAUCUGUAGCUGGUCUGAGAGGACGACCAGCCAAACUGGGACUGAGACACGGCCCAGACUCCUACGGGAGGCAGCAGUGGGGAAUUUUGGACAAUGGGCGCAAGCCUGAUCCAGCAAUGCCGCGUGCAGGAAGAAGGCCUUCGGGUUGUAAACUGCUUUUGUACGGAACGAAACGGUCUGGGUUAAUACCCUGGGCUAAUGACGGUACCGUAAGAAUAAGCACCGGCUAACUACGUGCCAGCCGCCGCGGUAAAAC